rnacentral:rRNA from 1 species
AUUGAACGCUGGCGGCAUGCUUUACACAUGCAAGUCGAACGGCAGCGCGGGCUUCGGCCUGGCGGCGAGUGGCGAACGGGUGAGUAAUACAUCGGAACGUGCCCAGCAGUGGGGGAUAGCUCGGCGAAAGCCGGAUUAAUACCGCAUACGACCUGAGGGUGAAAGCGGGGGAUCUUCGGACCUCGCGCUAUUGGAGCGGCCGAUGGCAGAUUAGCUAGUUGGUGGGGUAAAGGCCUACCAAGGCGACGAUCUGUAGCUGGUCUGAGAGGACGACCAGCCACACUGGGACUGAGACACGGCCCAGACUCCUACGGGAGGCAGCAGUGGGGAAUUUUGGACAAUGGGCGGAAGCCUGCUCCAGCAAUGCCGCGUGUGUGAUGAAGGCCUUCGGGUUGUAAAGCACUUUUGGCGGGAACGAAAAGGACUGUGCCAAUACCACGGUUCGAUGACGGUACCCGCAGAAUAAGCACCGGCUAACUACGUG